rnacentral:rRNA from 1 species
UACGAAGGGCGAGAGCGUUAAUCGGAAUUACUGGGCGUAAAGCGUGCGUAGGUGGCGGAUCGAAUUCACCGUGAAAGUCCUGGGCUUAACCUGGGGAUUGCGGUGAGUACUGGUUUGCUCGAGUCGGGUAGAGGGUCGUGGAAUUACUGGUGUAGCGGUGAAAUGCGUAGAUAUCAGGAGGAACAUCGGUGGCGAAGGCGGCGACAUGGACUUAGACUGACACUGAGGCACGAAAGCGUGGGGAGCAAACAGG